rnacentral:lncRNA from 1 species
UUAAUAGUCUAACAACCUCUGAUAAUAUACAAAGAGAGAAGAAAAAAACAUACUAGGAAACAUAUUCAAAAAAUCAUAACACUAUAACUAACUGGUGGGAUGUAUAAAUACCGAGCCGCGUCAAAGAGUAUUCAUCAAAAUACACAUAGAAGGAAACAGAGGUGAAGGUAAACCGCAAACAUAUAAUUAAACUCAAAACAUUAAAGAGUAUGGAAAAGCCC